ACCGCCCACUACCAUAUACGGCCUCUCCGUACGCGCGGGUAUUGAGGUACCAUCGCCGCGCAUACGAGUUGAAUAAUUCAGGGACGCGAUCGUAUGCCAUGGUGCCCCGAGAUUCAACGCGAUUCACAAAUCGAUCGGGCGAUCACUUCUAUCGCGUGACUCUUGUCAUUCACCGCAACUGUACUCGCACGAAUUUUAUCUUAUGUACACCUCUGACGAACAAUAUACACAGUAUCGCGACUCUCAAUAUAUAGUAACAAUUUCAAUCGUGAAAUUGAGCAUUUUAUAUUUGAGAUUAGGAAUUCAGAAUUUUAUUAGAGCAUAAGAAAUGAUUACUAAAUCGACACUUGAUAUGAACAACAAUGUAACUAGAUCAUGUUUACGUUAAAGGUACAGCGGUUCAUAUCAAUUGCCAAAAUAAGGUUGCAUAAUAAAUGCGAUGUGUACAUUUGUCAUAUGUGUAUUCACAGUUAAUUAAUUUGUUACAUAAGGCUUUUAUGUGAUAUAAUAAACGAAUAUGAAUUUUCUCUAUAAAUCUAAUAAAGUUAAUUUGUAUCGUAAAUUGAAAAAAAUAUCAAUAUUUAUAACUUUGUCUCUAAAUUUGAAUGCACUCAUGAUUACAGUCAGGUUGAGAAUCCCUUUGAGACAUCUAAAACUUGAACGCCCAUCAUCUAUUUCUUAACUUAAUCGAGGCAUUUUAUAGUCCGAUUAUUAGUCAUGCAUCGCAGCAUCCAUGAAUAAAAACGUCCAAUGAUCAGAUUUUGAAAUAAGACGAAUUAGUUUUGAAAGUUGAGUGACGAGCGCCCAGGUUUUGGAAGUACACACGUAGAUCCGUACGUAAUCUUUCGAAAUUUAAUCAAAUAACUAAUCGUCCAUGGAAACUCACGCGAUGCUUCAAAUAAACCAGAAACUAAAUUUAGGUUUCAACGUUAACUCGAUAUUUUAAAGUCGGCCGUACGUACACUUUGUAAACAAAGAGAUUAAACGCGAUGUAUAUGAGAUACAUAUUAAAGAUUCCGUGUGCACGUGUGUAUACCGAUGACGCGUAGCAAUGCACGUAGAACAAUGAUUUUUUAAUUAUAUACAUUAUUAAAAUAUGUCCUGAUUAUACAGUUAUUAUGUCGUAUACUAAUUCUUUUUCUUUCUAUCAAUUAUUUGUGAGAUCUUAUAAAUAUUUCCUAUAAAUAUGUAUACGUAGUGGAUGCAAUAGUGUAGACGUAGCCCACGCGACAUGAAUGGAAAGUCACGUGAAACUGGCGCGGCGUUCAAUGUGUGAUCUCAGAAGAUCAUCAUACAAUAUAUUGUCAUUAUUGCAGGAUACUCACGACCAAUAUUGUCAAUACACCAUUGUUAAUUUAUCUUAAAUUAAAUUUUCAAAUUUCCUAAUUUAAAAGUUCUUAAAUGCAUAAGGUCCUCAUCAAAUCACUUCUAAACUUCGUAAUUUUCCAAACUUCUAAAUUCCUUGAACGCAAUAAUACAAACGACCUUAACACUUCGGCCUUGCUCGCGAACGGGGGCGACACCCGCUAUGUAACACCAAAUGAGGGCCAUGUAUCGAGAACCGUCAUUGAAAAUGAACACGUGCACGUGGUAAAACAUUUCCGACGGAUCUCAUGUUCGGUUACGUGAGACUGAGCAGCCGUGAGAGGACCUCACCCCCGGGAGCUGCCACGUCCACGGAAAAUACGUCGGGGGUGGCGCACUCCUGCUGCGUUUUUAUCAUAAUACGUGCUCGAAACUCCAAAAGCGUUUUGAAGCAAAUUUCCUAUUCCCAUAUUACAAAUUCUCCAAUAUAAAAAUUUCCAAAUUCACAAAUCUGAUAUUUAAAAAAUUCCAAAUCAAACACCACUUUUCCCAAGUUUCAAAUUCCACACUUCCAAAUUUGUUAAUCUAACUUGAAGAAUGAAAAAAUUCUCUGUAACCCUCAGUCCUCAAGCUGUGUGUGUCCCUAAUUUUCCUUAUAGGAAGUCAAAUAUGUUCAGUGUACUUUGUACAUAAUCUAUAAAGGAUCAUUGGAAGACGAACGAUCGAUUACCGAAGGUUGCCGGUUGUCGCCUUAACGUUCUCCCACGAGUGUUACCUUUUGCGCCACAUCCAACGCGCCUACACGCGUAUAUCGGUUGAUGUAAAGUAGCACUGACGUCAUACGACAUCUACCGUACAUGGUCCUGCCGAGAAAUUGCGUGGGUGUCACAUAUUAUUAAGUAUUUCUCUUGUGUCGUUUCAAACCGCGAUCAACGGAUACUUUCUAGUUUCUCUUUUCGCGUACAGGAAUCAGAGGUACUUGAAAAUAUCCAAGUACGCGCGAUUAACGCCACGUAACAUCCCACGGAACGAUUGUGCCUGAUUUCAAUACCAACUGAUUCAAUUUUCGCACGAAGAACAAAUGGCGAUAUUUUAAAUCAUUUUGUACAAUACACCGCUGGAAUUAAUUUUCGAUCUUGUGAUAGAUGUUAUUACACAACAAUGAGAAAGUUAAGCGGCUAAAAAUAGAUCAUACACGGAGCGUCCCAAGUCACGUGAUCAGGAUAUGGAAAUAACGUUGCAGUUUUGUGUGGACUACAUCGAAGAUAUGCCAUCGACAAAAAAUUGUCAUUCGAGAGGAGGGAGAAUUAUUGUUUGAAGAAACUACUCGACAUUAAUGGCUUCGUCAUUGACUAGAACUACUAAUUAAACACUGAAAAUUUGAAACCUUCGACAUUUUUACGAGUUUGUAUAAUAUUAAUUUAUUAACGAAUUUUAAAAUA